GCGCGGGUGUCGUAAUCGGUAGCCGAGCAGGAUUGAGGUUCCUGUGGCCGCAAGGCCGUGGAGGUUCGAGUCCUCUCCCGCGCACCA
rnacentral:tRNA from 1 species